ensembl:lncRNA
CUUGUAUAACAUCAAGUACAUGUUCUAAUAUCUUUCAACAGCUCUACACAAAUUCUGAUAUCUACCACCAGUUUUUGUUUUUUUUUUUUUCUUCUGGAUAUCUGUACGAUACCGAAUAUCUGUUUGGUAUUUUCCAUUCAGCAUCUCAUAGCUAGGAAACAGAAAAAAGCCUUCUCCGUCUUCCUGUGCUGUGGAGACAAUGAGAGAAAAAGACAUGGGCAGAGGCAUCUUGGCAGUAGGACCACAUGUGGAUUUUCAGUCAUUACAAAGGUGGCUAAUGAAAAUAUUGAAUAGAAUCAUCUCAGGAUGUAUUCCCUUGGGACCCUGCUUGAGAUGCCUUUUUGAGAGCCAUUUUCCAACUGACUGUGCCUCCACUGUUCUGGUUUAAGCUCAAGAUGAAAUCACAUGGACCAGAAAAAUC